UGUAGUUCUAUACGAAGACAAGUGAGAGGCGCUGUAGGGCUCUGUAGAAAGCCAAAGCAAAAGGGGAGGAGCGGUAUCGGGGAGUAAAGUAGCCACACGGUGUGUCUGUCCCACCAGGCAUUCGCUCGAAUCUAACCAACCGACGCUGAGCAGGGAUCGGAUAAAGACGCGUUCUGUGGCAUCUGCCAAAACUCCCGACCACUCCGCUCACAAUUGUCAACGGAGAGACAGUAGCCCGCAAACAGCGGACACCUGACAGGCAACAGAAGGGAUAAAGCAAGAGGCAACAUAAUACAUUUAGCCGUAAAAUGCAACAGUCUUUGUUGGAUUAAAACAUCAUUCAAAGAUAAGCGUCGUAUAGGCAGUGAAACAAGGACGAACGCCGGUGCUGAAGCUGAACUGCGACUAGGGAGGUGUAGACGGGAAUACUCAAAAGAUCGAAUUUGUCUGAUGAGAAUCGCCAUCCACCAGAGACCUAAGGGCCUGCUCCACUCCUUCUCCGACAGCUGAAAGUGUUCAUUUGUCCACCGAAUCCAAGCAGUCUUAUCAGUCUACGCUGACCUACUUGGAGCAGGCUAAACAGUGAGAUCGUGCGUAAUUGUACAUGCUGAAAGGUUUUCCAUAUCUGGGAAAAGAUCCACAUCAGGCAGCAGG
rnacentral:lncRNA from 1 species